rnacentral:rRNA from 1 species
AUGCUGAGGAGGUGCCACGACAAGCUCGACAUCACGCACCAAAAUAUGGUACUGUUUUCAGUCGGGAAAUUUUCUUGUGAGGUUUUGUGCGACGUAAUUCCAGUGCCCAUGGUUUCGUGUCAUAUGCUACUGGGAGAGCCAUGGUACAAGAAAAACUAUGCUACGCAUGACUAUCGCGCCAAAAUGUAUACUGUCGAAUGGGGUACAAAAUAUGUCCUCAUGGCCAUGGAGAAGAAGUUAUUCAAGACAUGGAGGAAAGAACGGCAACAAAAGAUGAAGGAACAAAAAGAAGCAAAGAAGGAAGUCAAACCUAUUGAAAUUUUUUCGGCGCACGUUCAUUCCACAGAUUAUGUCGUUGUUAUAGAGACUGACACAAAAUCAAGAACGUUUUCGCUUGAAGGGAGGGAGGAUGAUAUGGCCAUGUCUGCUCUUAUUACUAUUGAUGCUCAAGAUGAUGCACGAGCUGAUGAUCGAGAUCACAUAGAUGAGAACGCUCAAUCCCCACACAUGCAUACGGUUGGAUCCAUUGGGCAUAGGCCCGUUGAGUUUAACCAUGGCUUAAGCCAAGCUACGUUUGUGACCCACAAGAAGGAAAGGAGUCUCAUGCGAGUUUGCUACUAG